AUGAACCUGAGAGUUUGAUCCUGGCUCAGAGCGAACGCUGGCGGCAUGCUUAACACAUGCAAGUCGCACGGGCAGCAAUGUCAGUGGCGGACGGGUGAGUAUCGC
rnacentral:rRNA from 1 species